rnacentral:SRP_RNA from 1 species
CACUAGACGGGGAACUAGCGGUGCCUUGUAACCUGCAAUCCGCUAUAGCAGGGUUUAAUUCCCAAUGGAGGUCUUUUGGAAGGUUAAAAGACUAGUAUAGCUAGUGUUGAUUGAUAGAUCUUACGCAAUGUAAGACUGUGAACCAUGUCAGGAGGGGAACCUAGCAGCAUUAAGCAGAUUCUUAUGUGUGCCGUAAGGCAACCUAUCAUGAGCUAAAUAUACUAG